rnacentral:lncRNA from 1 species
GGCCCGGGGCCACUGCUGACCGGUGGGGCUGUUCUUGGGUCCCCAGGUAUGGGCAGCAGGCGCAGGGGUGCCCCACAGCCCACCCUCGACGCUUGUGUGGAAGAGCCAGAGCAGCUGGGGUACCGGCGAGAGGUUCCGCACCGUCCUGGUCAAUGCCGAUGGGGAGGUGGGUGCUGGGGCUGGGGGGCUGGGGGCUGCAUCUCCUGGGCCCACUUCUGGUGGCAUCUGCCGGGGGGCCACAGUGAGGCUGAGCAUGGUGGCCCUCGCCUGGCACAGGAAGUGGCUGUGAGAGCGGUGAAGCAGACCUCAGGCCUGCAGGAGAACGGGGAGGAGGAGGAGGAGGAGGCUGAGUUCGGCGAGGAAGACCUUUUCCACCAACAGGGCGACCCUCGGACUGUGGCCAGGGGCUGCCGGCUGAUGUGACCAGCGACACCCUCGAGCACUCCUGCGGCCCUGGGGACUGUUUUGCUACCACGACUUUCAUUUGUCCUGGACACAUUUCUAGCCGGUGUACCGCCAGCACAUGGGAGGGAGGGAGGGAGGGAGGGAGGGUCUCUGCAGCGCUUUCCUGUUGGUGGCCGGUGGUGUCCCGGGACCAUCCCUUCGUCACCCCUUCUCUGCUGUCCAGGCUUUUGGUCCCUCCUCACCCCAAGUUGGCCACUAGGUUGAAUAUGAGGUUUGGGGCCAGGACCUGGAGGUCAGGAAGGUGGGGCUGCCGUUGGGGAUGGGGGUGAAGCGGUAUGGGGAUUCCAUAGCUGUGGGGUUUGUUCUUUUUAAAGCUGUUUCAGAACUAAAAUCAGAAACCGGUUCCGAC